AGAAACUGCAAUUGCUUGGAAGAAGAUGAACCAUCUGGAGAAUCCAUAUUUUGAGAACAAGAUUCAAAAUUAUGAUAUUCCAUUGUUGAGCUAGUAUGAGCAGACUUAUCGACGAUAGAUUCAUAAAUAUUACAGGUUCUGGACUGGGAUUCUUUGGCCUAAAUCAUUUCAAGAGCAAAUUAAAUGAUAUAUUUCUUAACUCAUAAUUCCUUACAUACAUAUAUGUAUAAUAAAUACCUUGGUAAUGGCAUUGUAAAGUCUGGUAUGGUUAAUAAUUCUGGUCUUGGUGAUGGGAGAUUGUGCUGCCAUCGAGUCGUAUAAGUUGUUUUUUUAUUGCUUGGAAGUCUAUAUGGUUUUAUGUAAAUUUGACCAUAUACUUUUGUAUGCCUUGGUCUACGCUUCAAAGUUAAUAAUACUUCCGCUGGACUUUCACGAAAUAAUUCCAAAAGAUUUUUUCGUUCCCAGCCAACCACAGUCUGAUAAUUUACCUAAAAAAAUUUAUUUAAAUUAAUAAAUAUAUUGCGCGCAUUAGCCCAUCAGUGUUUGAAACAAAAUAAAGUAAAAAUGAAUU